rnacentral:rRNA from 1 species
GGAGCUUGCUCUUCUUGGAUGAGUUGCGAACGGGUGAGUAACGCGUAGGUAACCUGCCUGAUAGCGGGGGAUAACUAUUGGAAACGAUAGCUAAUACCGCAUAACAAUUUUUGUUGCAUGACAAGAAUUUGAAAGGCGCAAUUGCACCACUAUCAGAUGGACCUGCGUUGUAUUAGCUAGUUGGUGGGGUAACGGCUCACCAAGGCGACGAUACAUAGCCGACCUGAGAGGGUGAUCGGCCACACUGGGACUGAGACACGGCCCAGACUCCUACGGGAGGCAGCAGUAGGGAAUCUUCGGCAAUGGGGGCAACCCUGACCGAGCAACGCCGCGUGAGUGAAGAAGGUUUUCGGAUCGUAAAGCUCUGUUGUAAGAGAAGAACGGAUGUGAGAGUGGAAAGUUCACAUCGUGACGGUAACUUACCAGAAAGGGACGGCUAACUACGUGCCAGCAGCCGCGGUAAUACGUAGGUCCCGAGCGUUAUCCGGAUUUAUUGGGCGUAAAGCGAGCGCAGGCGGUUAGAUAAGUCUGAAGUUAAAGGCUGUGGCUUAACCAUAGUACGCUUUGGAAACUGUUUGACUUGAGUGCAAGAGGGGAGAGUGGAAUUCCAUGUGUAGCGGUGAAAUGCGUAGAUAUAUGGAGGAACACCUGUGGCGAAAGCGGCUCUCUGGCUUGUAACUGACGCUGAGGCUCGAAAGCGUGGGUAGCGAACAGGAUUAGAUACCCUGGUAGUCCACGCCGUAAACGAUGAGUGCUAGGUGUUAGGCCCUUUCCGGGGCUUAGUGCCGCAGCUAACGCAUUAAGCACUCCGCCUGGGGAGUACGACCGCAAGGUUGAAACUCAAAGGAAUUGACGGGGGCCCGCACAAGCGGUGGAGCAUG